rnacentral:tRNA from 1 species
AAAUGGGCCUGAUCCUUAUAAGCCCAGAUAUCGAUAAACAGAUCUUCUUCGUGGUAAGUUUUAUGAAAAUC